ensembl:lncRNA
CUCCUUUCUGAACUUUAAAGGUUGCUUUAUGUUGUAAGAAACAAGAGAGACCUCAGUGAUCUCUGUCAUUACUCUGAAAAGGCAUUUUGUUGACUUUUUUUUUUUUUUUUUUACUUUUUUCUUUGCUAAACUAAGAGAAAGCACAGAGCAGACCAGUGGGCAGGCAGAAUGAUGCUACGUCUAGGACUGAGGAUCAGGCUGAGGAGCUGGAAUGCUUCACUCCAUCACAGGCAUUGAUGGCUGGGACCUCAGCUUGAUCAACUGAGACCCGGCUUCUGAACGUCUUCAGCGUGAACCUUCCAGAGGACAUAAAAGGGCUCGACGCGAUAAGAAAUGAGCUAUCGAGUGCUGCUCUUGAGACAUCAUCCUCAACUCCUUGAAGUCAACAGAAAGCUACUGAGAGUCUUCAGUGGGCUUUGGAUCAGACGUUCGGCGUAUUAACGGUGAACGUGCCAAAUCUUCUUUUAAGAACGCCGUUUUAAGGGUCUCAUGGCUGAAGAUGGUUCUAUUUGCCAUAAGGAAGCACGGGGCGCUUUUACCAGCGGUCGUAUUUCAGUAGCUUUGUGUCACUCCUUUGGGUUUAUUUGGAAUGACCCCGGUACAGUUUUGUAUUUCUCGCAAUGCCUUGUUAAAUACAGCAAUGGUCGGAAACAACAGCAAGGUAAGCACUUGUUCAUGACUAACAAAACAUCGCCGGCAAGAAACAGCAAACACCACCACUCUCCAGGGAUCUGGCUUGGAGUGCAUGAAAAACUCUUUAUUUCUGAGAGUUACUUCUAAAAUUCUUGACCUUCAGGAAAUGGUUCAAUUUUCCCAUAAAUAAGCAAUGACUUUCACAUGUCAGUGGGGGAGAGUGAAGAGAUUGUUCUCUUUCUGUGAAUAUUUCUCUGCUGCGGAGCGGCGGAGGCAGAAGCUGGCGGUGCAGAGCCCGGCGUGGGGUCCUACAGCAGCAAAUGGGGCCGCCCCUCCCCCUCAUACAGCAAGCUCCCA